AAAAAAAAAAAAAAGGGAAAAGGGGAAAAGGGGGGGUCUUUGCUCUUCUUGCUCGCCGGUUUCUUCGUGUUUUAUUUUU
rnacentral:ribozyme from 14 species